CGUGACUGUAAGACCGACUGGUCGAACAGAGACGAAAGUCAGCCAUAGUGAUCUUGGAGUUCCGUGUGGAAGGGCUCUUGCUCAACAGAUCAAAGGUACGUUGGGGAUAACAUGCUGAUGACUCCCAAUAGCUCUUAUUGACGGAGUCGUUCGGAACCUCAAUGUCGACUCAUCACAUCCUGGGGUUGAAGAAGGUCUCAAGGGUUUGGUUGUUUGUCGAUGAAAGUGGUACAUGAGUUGGGUUUAGAACGUUGUCAGACUGUUCGGUUCCUAUCUACCGU
rfam:Cucumis melo, WGS project CAJI01000000 data, contig: 46874